AGAGUUUGAUCCUGGCUCAGGGUGAACGCUAGCGAUAGGCCUAACACAUGCAAGUCGAGGGGCAGCACAUGAAGUAGCAAUACGGAUGGUGGCGACCGGCGCACGGGUGAGUAACGCGUAUGCAACCUGCCUACAACAGGGGAAUAACCCGUUGAAAGACGGACUAAUACCCCAUAACACAGGGAUCCCGCAUGGGAAUAUUUGUUAAAGAUUUAUCGGUUGUAGAUGGGCAUGCGUUCCAUUAGCUGGUUGGUGAGGUAACGGCUCACCAAGGCAACGAUGGAUAGGGGAACUGAGAGGUUUAUCCCCCACACUGGUACUGAGACACGGACCAGACUCCUACGGGAGGCAGCAGUGAGGAAUAUUGGUCAAUGGACGCAAGUCUGAACCAGCCACGUCGCGUGAAGGAAGACGGCCCUACGGGUUGUAAACUUCUUUUGUAAGGGAAUAAAGUGCAGUACGUGUACUGUUUUGCAUGUACCUUACGAAUAAGGAUCGGCUAACUCCGUGCCAGCAGCCGCGGUAAUACGGAGGAUCCGAGCGUUAUCCGGAUUUAUUGGGUUUAAAGGGUGCGCAGGCGGGAGAUUAAGUCGGCGGUGAAAUUUUGCAGCUCAACUGUAAAAGUGCCUUCGAAACUGGUUUUCUUGAGUGUGGAUGAAGUAGGCGGAAUUUGUGGUGUAGCGGUGAAAUGCAUAGAUAUCACGAGGAACUCCGAUUGCGCAGGCAGCUUACUAAACCAUAACUGACGCUCAGGCACGAAGGCGUGGGGAUCAAACAGGAUUAGAUACCCUGGUAGUC
rnacentral:rRNA from 1 species